GUUCUUCGGAACUAGAGACCGGCGCACGGGUGCGUAACGCGUAUGCAAUCUACCUUUUACAGAGGGAUAGCCCAGAGAAAUUUGGAUUAAUACCUCAUAGUAUAUAGCCCUGGCAUCAGGAUUAUAUUAAAGUCACAACGGUAAAAGAUGAGCAUGCGUCCCAUUAGCUAGUUGGUAAGGUAACGGCUUACCAAGGCUACGAUGGGUAGGGGUCCUGAGAGGGAGACCCCCCACACUGGUACUGAGACACGGACCAGACUCCUACGGGAGGCAGCAGUGAGGAAUAUUGGACAAUGGGCGCAAGCCUGAUCCAGCCAUGCCGCGUGCAGGAUGACGGUCCUAUGGAUUGUAAACUGCUUUUAUACGAGAAGAAACACUCCUUCGUGAAGGAGCUUGACGGUAUCGUAAGAAUAAGGAUCGGCUAACUCCGUGCCAGCAGCCGCGGUAAUACGGAGGAUCCAAGCGUUAUCCGGAAUCAUUGGGUUUAAGGGUCCGUAGGCGGUUUAAUAAGUCAGUGGUGAAAGCCCAUCGUUCAACGGUGGAACGGCCAUUGAUACUGUUAGACUUGAAUUAUUAGGAAGUAACUAGAAUAUGUAGUGUAGCGGUGAAAUGCUUAGAGAUUACAUGGAAUACCAAUUGCGAAGGCAGGUUACUACUAAUUGAUUGACGCUGAUGGACGAAAGCGUGGGUAGCGAACAGGAUUAGAUACCCUGGUAGUCCACGCCGU
rnacentral:rRNA from 1 species